AGAGUUUGAUCCUGGCUCAGGACGAACGCUGGCGGCGUGCUUAACACAUGCAAGUCGAACGAGAAAGCACCUUCGGGUGUGAGUACAGUGGCGAACGGGUGAGUAACACGUGGGCAACCUGCCCUAGAGACUGGGAUAACGUUCCGAAAGGGACGCUAAUACCGGAUGACGCGCAACCUGCUAAGUGGGUUGCGCCAAAUGGUAGCUUCGGCUUCUGCUCUGGGAUGGGCCCGCGCCGGAUUAGCUUGUUGGUGAGGUAAUGGCUCACCAAGGCGACGAUCCGUAGCUGGUCUGAGAGGACGAUCAGCCACACUGGAACUGAGACACGGCCCAGACUCCUACGGGAGGCAGCAGUGGGGAAUUUUGGACAAUGGGCGAAAGCCUGAUCCAGCCAUGCCGCGUGAGUGAAGAAGGCCUUCGGGUUGUAAAGCUCUUUCGGCCGGGAAGAAAUCGCAUAGGUUAAUACCCUGUGUGGAUGACGGUACCGGAAUAAGAAGCACCGGCUAACUACGUGCCAGCAGCCGCGGUAAUACGUAGGGUGCGAGCGUUAAUCGGAAUUACUGGGCGUAAAGCGUGCGCAGGCGGUUUUUUAAGACAGGCGUGAAAUCCCCGGGCUUAACCUGGGAACUGCGCUUGUGACUGGAAGGCUAGAGUACGGCAGAGGGGGGGUGGAAAUUCCACGUGUAGCAGUGAAAUGCGUAGAGAUGUGGAGGAACACCGAUGGCGAAGGCAGCCCCCUGGGCCGAUACUGACGCUCAUGCACGAAAGCGUGGGGAGCAAACAGGAUUAGAUACCCUGGUAGUCCACGCCCUAAACGAUGUCAACUAGGUGUUGGGUGGGUAAAACCAUUUAGUACCGGAGCUAACGCGUGAAGUUGACCGCCUGGGGAGUACGGCCGCAAGGUUAAAACUCAAAGGAAUUGACGG
rnacentral:rRNA from 1 species